AACCUCUCCUCUAUAAAAACACCACUUUCUUCUGACUGUAUUCACUGCAGCAACGCCUUCACUCCCAACACUCAGAAGAAAACAAGUGAGCAGCAUCCAUCCGACAUCUUUCUCCAACAAAGAAGAUGGCUGGCCUAUGCUGGAUGGCAGUGAUGCUGGUAUUCUUCCUGUCUGCUGAAAACGGUUUGGCUGUUGUGGACCAGAACACGCUUGCAACGAUUGUAAAUGACAUCUUAAGAGAGUACAACCCAGGAGGCAUGUUCAGUCUGGCUGUAAGGAUCCCAUAUGACCAGAACCAGAACAUUAACACUGCCCUUCAACAAGUCUUUACAAGUGAUCCUGGUAACAACGUGGUGAAUACGAUCAACAACAACAACCAGGACGUGUACAACAGAGGACGGGUGGUUGCAGCCAAAGUUCGGAGACGGCCCAAUGGAGGAGCUGAUCAUGCAGAGUCGCGCGUUGUGAACCACUUGAAAGACUUGUUCAACAGGGGUAAUGUGAAUGAUCACGAUUUGUUGCUUUUCUAUGUUUAUUCCUCCCCAUGUAUUGACAAAUGUUCAAGCGACCGACAUCAUGAGAGCAUCAUCGGAAGGAUAAAAAACAUUAAGAAAUGGACCAAUUAUGCUCUGGUGUUUUCUAAAAUAUUCAAACCCAACAAUGAUCAUACCUAUACAAAGGAACAACUGAUGGACGGCCUUAAGCGUAUUGGGAAUGCAAUCGGUCUUAACAACAUAUUCCGUUGUGACAGGCGGUUUGGUCAGAUGAAGUGUACCAGCUGCGCCGAUGGUCAACGGGUUGCAGAUUAUUGUGUUUCUGAUCCAUAGCCAGCCUCCACUUCAGGUUAAGGGCAGCAGACUCAGUCAAAGCGGCAGUCUGUAGAAAAGUUCUUGGGACUGCUGUGAUUCAGGUCUUAUAGAUCUGCAGGGACUUGAAGAAUAUACUGGCUAUGGUGGGUCAAACCACUGCUGUAUUGCCCUCAAACAUAAUUUAAAGGGAUUGUUUGGGUUUUUUGAAGUGGGGUUGUAUGAAGUACUUAUCCAUCGUCAGUGUUACCUACAGUAGAGCACGCCCCCAGUUUGGAGAAGCAGCCAGGGAGUUAGCAAAGCAACCAAAGCAAUGUACUGCUGUGUACGGGGUCGGCAGUAAAACUUAUUUUAGCCACCUAAAAGAAAGGCCCACCUAAAAACAUCAAUAUCAGCUUAAUUGUAUGUGUUAAUAUUUUCGCAGGUUUACCUUGCCGUCAGACAGCUAUACAGUCUUUUAUACUGUAUGUUUCCGAUGACAAAAUAAAAAUAAAUUCGUUUUUUCAACGGAGUCUGGUAGCUUUGAUGGAUAUACAAUGGCUUCAGUU